rnacentral:tRNA from 1 species
GCCUAGCUGGCUCAGUUGGUAGAGCAUGUGGCUUUUGAUCUCAGGGUCAUGGGUUCAAGCCCCACAUUGGUCG